CAUAAUAUAGUUUAUAAAAAAUAUUACAUUUUCAAUGUAGAAAUUAUUAUUU
rnacentral:tRNA from 1 species